rnacentral:rRNA from 1 species
UAUGGCUCAGAACGAACGCUGGCGGCAUGCCUAACACAUGCAAGUCGAACGCUUUUGGGGCUUCGGCCUCAAGGGAGUGGCGCACGGGUGAGUAGCGCGUGGGAACCUGCCCUGUUGUGGGGGAUAACCGAGGGAAACUUCGGCUAAUACCGCAUGCGCCCCGGGAAACCGGGGGAAAGAUUUAUCGCAGCAAGAGGGGCCCGCGUCGGAUUAGCUAGUUGGUGGGGUAACGGCCUACCAAGGCAGCGAUCCGUAGCUGGUCUGAGAGGAUGAUCAGCCACACUGGGACUGAGACACGGCCCAGACUCCUACGGGAGGCAGCAGUGGGGAAUAUUGGACAAUGGGCGCAAGCCUGAUCCAGCAAUGCCGCGUGAGUGAUGAAGGCCUUAGGGUUGUAAAGCUCUUUCGCCCGCGACGAUUAUUACGGUAGCGGGAAAAGAAGCCCCGGCUAAUUAAAUGC